rnacentral:rRNA from 1 species
AGUGAACGCUGGCGGUAGGCCUAACACAUGCAAGUCGAACGGCAGCACAGUAAGAGCUUGCUCUUACGGGUGGCGAGUGGCGGACGGGUGAGGAAUACAUCGGAAUCUACUUUUUCGUGGGGGAUAACGUAGGGAAACUUACGCUAAUACCGCAUACGACCUACGGGUGAAAGCAGGGGAUCUUCGGACCUUGCGCGAUUGAAUGAGCCGAUGUCGGAUUAGCUAGUUGGCGGGGUAAAGGCCCACCAAGGCGACGAUCCGUAGCUGGUCUGAGAGGAUGAUCAGCCACACUGGAACUGAGAAACGGUCCAGACUCCGACGGGAGGCAGCAGUGGGGAAUAUUGGACAAUGGGCGCAAGCCUGAUCCAGCCAUACCGCGUGGGUGAAGAAGGCCUCGGGUUGUAAAGCCCUUUUGUUGGGAAAGAAAAGCAGCAGGUUAAUACCCCGCUGUUCUGACGGUACCCAAAGAAUAAGCACCGGCUAACUUCGUG